rnacentral:ribozyme from 1 species
AAAACAAGAACAAAAACAAAAACAAAAACAGAGAAAGAGAAAGAGAAACAAUGAUGAAAGCAAAAUGGUCACUGACCCUAUUCGUUACCUUCUUCUUCUUCUUCUUCUUCUUCUCAUCUUUCUUGCAACAGCUCAUUUUCAAUCACAAAUGUGAGAUUUCCAGGCAGAAUUUGAAUUUGUACGGCACAGGAAUCAAUCAAU